rnacentral:rRNA from 1 species
ACGAACGCUGGCGGCAGGCCUAACACAUGCAAGUCGAACGAGAAGCCACCUUCGGGUGGUGGAAAGUGGCAGACGGGUGAGUAACGCGUGGGAACGUGCCUUUCGGUUCGGGAUAACCCAGGGGAACUUGGGCUAAUACCGGAUACGCCCUUCGGGGGAAAGAUUCAUCGCCGAAAGAUCGGCCCGCGUCGGAUUAGCUAGUUGGUGGGGUAAAAGCCUACCAAGGCGACGAUCCGUAGCUGGUCUGAGAGGAUGAUCAGCCACACUGGGACUGAGACACGGCCCAGACUCCUACGGGAGGCAGCAGUGGGGAAUAUUGGACAAUGGGCGAAAGCCUGAUCCAGCCAUGCCGCGUGGGUGAAGAAGGCCUUAGGGUUGUAAACCCCUUUCAGCGGGGAAGAUAAUGACGGUACCCGCAGAAGAAGUCCCGGCUAACUCCGU